rnacentral:tRNA from 1 species
UGGGAUACAGCUCAGUGGUAGAGUUCUUGCCUAGUAUAUAUGACACCCUAGGUUCAAUCCCUAGCACCACAA